rnacentral:rRNA from 1 species
UACAGAGGUCUCAAGCGUUGUUCGGAUUCAUUGGGCGUAAAGGGCGCGUAGGCGGUGCGGUAAGUCUGCGGUGAAAUCUCCCGGCUCAACUGGGAGUCUGCCGUGGAAACUGCCGUGCUUGAGUGUGGGAGAGGUGAGUGGAAUUCCCGGUGUAGCGGUGAAAUGCGCAGAUAUCGGGAGGAACACCGGUGGCGAAGGCGGUUCUCUGGGCCUUACCUGACACUGAGGAGCGAAAAGCGUGGGGGAGCGAACAGG